UGCCUACGGGGUGCAGCAGUGAGGAAUAUUGGUCAAUGGGCGGAAGCCUGAACCAGCCAAGUCGCGUGAGGGAAUAAGGCCCUACGGGUCGUAAACCUCUUUUGCCGGGGAGCAAGGGCCGGGACGCGUCCCGGCCCGGAGAGUACCCGGAGAAAAAGCAUCGGCUAACUCCGUGCCAGCAGCCGCGGUAAUACGUAGGGGGCAAGCGUUAUCCGGAUUCACUGGGUGUAAAGGGAGCGUAGACGGCCAUGCAAGCCUGGAGUGAAAGCCCGGGGCCCAACCCCGGGACUGCUCUGGGAACUGUG
rnacentral:rRNA from 1 species